rnacentral:rRNA from 1 species
AUGAACGCUAGCUACAGGCUUAACACAUGCAAGUCGAGGGGCAGCAUUUCAGUUUGCUUGCAAACUGGAGAUGGCGACCGGCGCACGGGUGAGUAACACGUAUCCAACCUGCCGAUAACUCGGGGAUAGCCUUUCGAAAGAAAGAUUAAUACCCGAUGGUAUAAUCAGACCGCAUGGUCUUGUUAUUAAAGAAUUUCGGUUAUCGAUGGGGAUGCGUUCCAUUAGGCAGUUGGUGAGGUAACGGCUCACCAAACCUUCGAUGGAUAGGGGUUCUGAGAGGAAGGUCCCCCACAUUGGAACUGAGACACGGUCCAAACUCCUACGGGAGGCAGCAGUGAGGAAUAUUGGUCAAUGGGCGCAGGCCUGAACCAGCCAAGUAGCGUGAAGGAUGACUGCCCUAUGGGUUGUAAACUUCUUUUAUAUGGGAAUAAAGUUUUCCACGUGUGGAAUUUUGUAUGUACCAUAUGAAUAAGGAUCGGCUAACUCCGUGCCAGCAGCCGCGGUAAUACGGAGGAUCCGAGCGUUAUCCGGAUUUAUUGGGUUUAAAGGGAGCGUAGGUGGACAGUUAAGUCAGUUGUGAAAGUUUGCGGCUCAACCGUAAAAUUGCAGUUGAUACUGGCUGUCUUGAGUACAGUAGAGGUGGGCGGAAUUCGUGGUGUAGCGGUGAAAUGCUUAGAUAUCACGAAGAACUCCGAUUGCGAAGGCAGCUCACUGGACUGCAACUGACACUGAUGCUCGAAAGUGUGGGUAUCAAACAGGAUUAGAUACCCUGGUAGUCCACACAGUAAACGAUGAAUACUCGCUGUUUGCGAUAUACAGUAAGCGGCCAAGCGAAAGCAUUAAGUAUUCCACCUGGGGAGUACGCCGGCAACGGUGAAACUCAAAGGAAUUGACGGGGGCCCGCACAAGCAGUGGAGUAUGUGGUUUAAUUCGACGCAACGCGAAGAACCUUACCAAGGCUUGACAUAUACAGGAAUAACUAAGAAAUUAGUUAGCUCUUCGGAGUCUGUAUACAGGUGGUGCAUGGUUGUCGUCAGCUCGUGUCGUGAGAUGUUGGGUUAAGUCCCGCAACGAGCGCAACCCUUAUCUUUAGUUACUAACAGGUCAUGCUGAGGACUCUAGAGAGACUGCCGUCGUAAGAUGUGAGGAAGGUGGGGAUGACGUCAAAUCAGCACGGCCCUUACGUCCGGGGCUACACACGUGUUACAAUGGGGGGUACAGAAGGCAGCUACCUGGUGACAGGAUGCUAAUCCCAAAAGCCUCUCUCAGUUCGGAUCGAAGUCUGCAACCCGACUUCGUGAAGCUGGAUUCGCUAGUAAUCGCGCAUCAGCCAUGGCGCGGUGAAUACGUUCCCGGGCCUUGUACACACCGCCCGUCAAGCCAUGAAAGCCGGGGGUACCUGAAGUACGUAACCGCAAGGAGCGUCCUAGGGUAAAACUGGUAAUUGGGGCU